GAUGAAGAACGUAGCGAAAUGCGAUAAGUAAUGUGAAUUGCAGAAUUCAGUGAAUCAUCGAAUCUUUGAACGCACAUUGCGCCCGCCAGUAUUCUGGCGGGCAUGCCUGUUCGAGCGUCAUUUCAACCAUCAAGCCCCCGGGCUUGUGUUGGGGACCUGCGGCUGCCCGCAGGCCCUGAAAACCAGUGGCUGGCUCGCUGUCACACCGAGCGUAGUAGCAUCAUCUCGCUCAGGGCGUGCUGCGGGUUCCGGCCGUUAAAAAGCCUCUAAUACCCAAGGUUGACCUCGGAUCAGGUAGGAAGACCCGCUGAACUUAAGCAUAUCAAUAAGCGGAGGA
rnacentral:misc_RNA from 1 species